GCUGGCGGCGUGCUUAACACAUGCAAGUCGAACGGAUAGGCCCUGCUUUUGUGGGGUGCUCGAGUGGCGAACGGGUGAGUAACACGUGAGUAACCUGCCCUUGACUUUGGGAUAACUUCAGGAAACUGGGGCUAAUACCGGAUAGGAGCUCCUGCUGCAUGGUGGGGGUUGGAAAGUUUCGGCGGUUGGGGAUGGACUCGCGGCUUAUCAGCUUGUUGGUGGGGUAGUGGCUUACCAAGGCUUUGACGGGUAGCCGGCCUGAGAGGGUGACCGGCCACAUUGGGACUGAGAUACGGCCCAGACUCCUACGGGAGGCAGCAGUGGGGAAUAUUGCACAAUGGGCGGAAGCCUGAUGCAGCAACGCCGCGUGCGGGAUGACGGCCUUCGGGUUGUAAACCGCUUUCGCCUGUGACGAAGCGUGAGUGACGGUAAUGGGUAAAGAAGCACCGGCUAACUACGUGCCAGCAGCCGCGGUGAUACGUAGGGUGCGAGCGUUGUCCGGAUUUAUUGGGCGUAAAGGGCUCGUAGGUGGUUGAUCGCGUCGGAAGUGUAAUCUUGGGGCUUAACCCUGAGCGUGCUUUCGAUACGGGUUGACUUGAGGAAGGUAGGGGAGAAUGGAAUUCCUGGUGGAGCGGUGGAAUGCGCAGAUAUCAGGAGGAACACCAGUGGCGAAGGCGGUUCUCUGGGCCUUUCCUGACGCUGAGGAGCGAAAGCGUGGGGAGCGAACAGGCUUAAAUACCCUGGGAGUCCACGCUGUAAACGGUGGGUACUAGGUGUGGGGUUCUUUCCACGGGUUCCGUGCGGUAGCUAACGCUUUAAGUUCCCCCCCUGGGGAGUACGGCCGCAAGGCUAAAACUCAAAGGAAUUGAGGGGGCCCCGCACAAGCGGCGGAGCAUGCGGAUUAAUUCGAUGCAACGCGUAGAACCUUACCUGGGUUUGACAUGGAUCGGGAGUGCUCAGAGAUGGGUGUGCCUCUUUUGGGGUCGGUUCUCAGGUGGUGCAUGGCUGUCGUCAGCUCGUGUCGUGAGAUGUUGGGUUAAGUCCCGCAACGAGCGCAACCCUUGUUCACUGUUGCCAGCACGUUAUGGUGGGGACUCAGGUGGAGACCGCCGGGGUCAACUCGGAGGAAGGUGGGGAUGACGUCAAGUCAUCAUGCCCCUUAUGUCCAGGGCUUCACGCAUGCUACAAUGGCUGGUACAGAGAGUGGCGAGCCUGUGAGGGUGAGCGAAUCUCGGAAAGCCGGUCUCAGUUCGGAUUGGGGUCUGCAACUCGCCCUCAUGAAGUCGGAGUCGCUAGUAAUCGCAGAUCAGCAACGCUGCGGUGAAUACGUUCCCGGGGCUUGUACACACCGCCCGUCAAGUCAUGAAAGUUGGUAACACCCGAAGCCGAAGGCCUAACCGUUGUGGGGGAGCCGUCGAAGGUGGGACUG
rnacentral:rRNA from 1 species